UGGGGAAUUUUCCGCAAUGGGCGCAAGCCUGACGGAGCAAUACCGCGUGAGGGAGGAAGGCCUUUGGGUUGUAAACCUCUUUUCUUAAGGAAGAAGAACUGACGGUACUUAAGGAAUCAGCAUCGGCUAACUCCGUGCCAGCAGCCGCGGUAAUACGGAGGAUGCAAGCGUUAUCCGGAAUUAUUGGGCGUAAAGCGUCCGUAGGCGGCUAGUCAAGUCUGCUGUCAAAGUUCAGGGCUUAACCCUGGGUAGGCGGUGGAAACUGAGUAGCUAGAGAGCGGUAGGGGUAGAGGGAAUUCCCAGUGUAGCGGUGAAAUGCGUAGAUAUUGGGAAGAACACCAGUGGCGAAGGCGCUCUACUGGGCCGUUACUGACGCUGAGGGACGAAAGCUAGGGGAGCGAAAGGGAUUAGAUACCCCGGUAGUCC
rnacentral:rRNA from 1 species